rnacentral:rRNA from 1 species
UACGUAGGGUGCGAGCGUUGUCCGGAAUUAUUGGGCGUAAAGAGCUCGUAGGCGGUUUGUUGCGUCGGCCGUGAAAACUUGGGGCUUAACCCCGAGCCUGCGGUCGAUACGGGCAGACUUGAGUUCGGCAGGGGAGACUGGAAUUCCUGGUGUAGCGGUGAAAUGCGCAGAUAUCAGGAGGAACACCGGUGGCUAAGGCGGCUCUCUAGUACGGUACUGACGCUGAGACGCGAAAGCGUGGGGAGCGAACAGG